GCUCCUACCGAUUGAGUGAUCCGGUGAACCUUCUGGACUGAGCUUGGGCUUGAACCAAGAACGGGAAGUUAUGUAAACCUUAUCACUUAGAGGAAGGAGAAGUCGUAACAAGGUUUCC
rnacentral:rRNA from 1 species